GCAUAUCACUAAGCGGAGGAAAAGAAACUAACAAGGAUGCGCUUAGUAACGGCGAGCGAACCGCGCAAAGCCCAA
rnacentral:rRNA from 1 species